UACGGAGGGGGCUAGCGUUGUUCGGAAUUAUUGGGCGUAAAGGGCGCGUAGGCGGCCUGGUAAGUCAGUUGUGAAAGCCCUCGGCUCAACCGAGGAAAUGCGACUGAUACUGCCGGGCUUGAGUCCCGGAGAGGAUAGCGGAAUUCCCAGUGUAGCGGUGAAAUGCGUAGAUAUUGGGAGGAACAUCGGUGGCGAAGGCGGCUAUCUGGACGGGUACUGACGCUGAGGCGCGAAAGCGUGGGGAGCAAACAGG
rnacentral:rRNA from 1 species